rnacentral:rRNA from 1 species
AGAGAGAGACAUGCGCGCAUAUCAAUAAGCGGAGGAAAAGAAACUAACAAGGAUUCCCUUAGUAACGGCGAGUGAAGCGGGAAGAGCUCAAAUUUGAAAUCUUCAAGGUUUUACCUUGACGAAUUGUAGUUUAAAGAAGUGUUUUCUGCUGAAGUUUUGGUAAAAGUUCUUUGGAAUAGGACAUCAUAGAGGGUGAGAAUCCCGUAUUUGACCAUUAUUUUCAGCUUUGUGAUACACUUUCAAAGAGUCGGAUUGUUUGGGAAUGCAGUCCAAAAUGGGUGGUAAAUUUCAUCUAAAGCUAAAUAUUGGCGAGAGACCAAUAGCGAACAAGUACCGUGAGGGAAAGAUGAAAAGAACUUUGAAAAGAGAGUUAAACAGUACGUGAAAUUGUCAAAAGGGAAGCGUUUGACACCAGUGUUGUUUUCUCGAAAAUCAAUUAAAAAUGGCUCGAUUUUGUAUUGUUGAGACCUUAAAAGCUCACUGUACAUUUUUCGUGUCUUUUUUAAUGCACUUUUCGUUUAACAAGUCAACAUCAGUUUCUUUUGUUGUAAAAGGGUCAUUGGAAGGUGGCUUUCUUUUCGGAGAAAGUGUUUAUAGCCUUUGGCCUCUGCAAUCGGAGAGAUUGAGGUCUGCAGCGUAGACUCCUUCGGGGUUAGAUACAUUUGUGCUAAGUUAUAGCCUUUUCAUAGACAACUUGUUGACUAUAAUCAGUCAUGUAGCUUACUCGCUUAUGCUAUUUUACCUACGCUUAGGAUGUUGAGUCGUAGAGCACGCAG